rnacentral:rRNA from 1 species
CGCCUUCAGACUCAAUAUUGGAGGUCUGGUCUGCCCAGUGUAAUUAAUUAACGGCCGCGGUAUUCUGACUGUGCAAAGGUAGCAUAAUCACUUGCCCUUUAAAUGGGGGAAUGUAUGAAUGAUUAGACGAGGUUUUUACUGUCUCUUCCUUAUAAAUUGAGAUUACAAUACUUGUGAAAAUGCGGGUAAGUAAUAAAGGACGAGAAGACCCUGUUGAGCUUUUAAGCUAAACUGUAGUACAGGUUAAGUUAAGUAAUAAUUUACAAUUAAAACGAGUAAUUUUUUGUAGGCUUUUUGGCUGGGGUGGCAAGCAAAGAUAUUAAGCUUUGUUGUAGUAUACAUUUUGUAUUUCUAGAUAAUAUGUAUCUAUAAAUAUUAAAUUGAUCCGUUAAAAUAGAACGAUUAAAAGAAUAAGUUACCACAGGGAUAACAGCGUAAUUCUUUUUGAGAGCUCGAAUUGACAAAGGAGUUUGCGACCUCGAUGUUGGAUCAAGAUUCCUAGCGGUGUAGCAGCUGUUACGGGUUUGCCUGUUCGGCGAUUAAUAUCU